CGGCCCUGCCGGCGGCUGCAGCACAGCACAGCACAGCCCCGCCCCGGCGGGUUUGGCCGCCCCGCCGCCCGCGCGAAGUCUUGCCGGGGCCUGGAGGACGGCGGGUGCGGCUCGCGUGUCCUCUCCCCCGCCGACAGGGCUGCUGCCUGCGGAGCUCGGGCCUGGCAGGACUGAGCAGCCCGAAGUCCCUGCCCGAGGGGCAAGAAGAGCCCCGCAGAAGUGGGGCUGGAGCGUGCGGCGCGAUGCAGCCCCGCGGGGUGAAGCUCUGCAGGCCUCGCCGUCAGGGGCUGAUGCACGAGCGGGCCUGGCCUGGCCUGGCCAUACCCACAGCCUCCCGCCUUGGGCUGUAGUCAAAGGAAGCACUGGCAACUAAGAGGGAGCUGGGCUUGUCUGGCCGCAGCUCCCCUACUCCUGCAGCUGGUACAACAGGUACCUGGAAGGAGCUCCCGCCCCACAGGAGAAUUGUGGGAAGGCUUCAGAAGAUGGUCAUCACUAAUCCACACUGCAGAGUGAAUGGCUUCAUGCCCUAUUUGGAAGCCACAAGGCUCUAUCCUACACCACCUGCCAGAUAUCCCAACCCAAGCUAAUGGCAUCUUCGUGCCAGAAAAGUAAGGAUGAAGAAACAAGUUUUGCCCCACAGGCUGUGAGACCACAGUUAUUCUCAAUACCUUCACGAGCCAGUGCCUUACUGUUGUGGGAGUCUGUGCUUCUGGAGAAUCAAGUGACCUGUUGGGUAAUUUAGACCAAUCCCACAGCCAGCACUGAAGAAGAGUUGUGUGAUCCUGAAUCUCACGAUGAGUCGGUACAGAAAGGAGAUAUUCCCUGCCACUGCUACAGUAGCCCUUGGAUUUCACUCCUGUAGAGAGGCAGACUAAUACCAACCAGGUGUGAAUGACAGGCAACAUCUUCUUCUAGAAUUUGUUUGGAUUCAAACUGCUGCAGAAUGAGACUUCAGUUUUGCUGGGAGCCCUUGUGAAUUCUUUUCCUUGAAGCUUAAAAUUUUGAUUAUGGUAUUUAUUAUUUCCCAUCAAUCUAGACAAAAUUCCUGAUUAUCACUUUGUACCUUUCUUCUUCAUCAGUGAUGUAUGAACUAAAUGGAUGUUUAAACAAAAUGAUAUAGGGCAGCCUCUGAGGGCUGGAACACUAAAUUGGAUGUUAAAAUUGGUGGAAUUCUGCCUUCUGUGUGACUGCAGGAUCAAGGAAGGCAAUUUCACUAGACACUUGAAAAUGUGUUUAUAAUUGUUCAGGUGAAUUAUUGGAAUCUGGCCCUAUGGAGGGCUGUGCUUUCUUAAGAGUGACUGUAUAAUGCUAUAUUUGUUUCCCUUCACUAUUUUGUUUCCUCACUGGCAAUCCCUAAUCCACAUAAAAUCCUAAAGCAGUUUCUAACAAUGUUCUCCCGUGGAACAGUUCACACCACUGCUAACAAAUCUGCCAGCUGCAUACGCUUGUGCUUCUGCAGAAUACCUUGCAAACUGUUCUCGGUGUGUGAUUCUGGGUGGAAAAUUGACAUUGUGGAAAUGGCUCCUUGGCACUAUAUAUUACCUGUUCCUGGGCACAUCUACACGUUCACUAAUGUGCCUUCAUUACUGCGCAUUAAGAGAAGUACUUGGUUAACCAACUACUAAUUCAAUGUGCAGUAGCUUGCGCUACUGUGCAGUAGCACCAGUGCAUGGGGUUUGUUUGAUGCUUACUGUGCAGUAGCCUAAUAACACCGCGCAGUAGUGUAUUAGCAUGGAUUUUGACUGGCACGCUACUGCACAGUGUCAUUAGGCUACUGCACAGUAAACGUUGCAUGUAGACAUGCUCCCUGGUAAACAGGGAUUCUGUUUUUUUCUUUUUAAAAAUUGCAAUUUCUGUGAUUAAAAUCCCCCAAAUCCCUCACUCCCCACCCACAGCCCCUGGCCCUACCAGUGCCCCUCACUCCCCACUCACACCCCCCUCAGCCCUGCUAGGAGGGGGCCCCCAGCUUCCAGGAAUAUAGGGCUGGGGACACAGGUCUGCAGCCCACUGCCCCCCAGCAGCACCCGAGCCCUGGCUGUUGCCCAUGGAAGGUGGCAGCUGCUGUGGUGGAGUGGAGCCCGGAGCCCGGCUCCCUCUGCUCCGUGGGCAGCACGGCUAGAGCAGAGCCUGUGAGGGAGUGGGUGCGGGCUGCCCACUGCAGGCUCGUGGCUCUCUGCCCUGCUGUCCUUCCCUGGGGCCUCCACGACCCAGCUGGUGGGACCUGGCAUGGCAGGGCAGAGCGGGGUGGGUUCCAAGCUUGGGGCAGCAGGGUUGGUGAUGCAGAGUUCUACUCCCCACUGCUGCUGGGUGGGCAGGGGUUGCUUUGCCAUGGCAGCGCAGGGCUCACGGCAACAACAUUGAGCUUCCCAGCCUGGUCGCACUUUGCUGUGCUGCACUGGGUCUUGCCAGCUGGGCUGUGGAAACCACAGCAGGGUAGGGAGCUUAAGUCUGCAGCAGGCAGCCCACACCCACUCCUCACAAAAAUCUGGGGGGGCACAUGUCCCCCAUACGCCUACCAAGACUGCACAGCAGUGGUGAGCCAGCUCCACCUCCUCUCCCCGGAGGAGCCACCCACAGCCCCGUUUUGCUGCCUGCCAGGCCCUGAGGCCACACAUUCUGGCCCUGGGGCCCCAAGCACCCUGCCCAAAUCCCUCCUUCAUUAUAGGGUCCUCAAUUGCCCCCACACUUACCUGCAUGAACUGCUCUCCAGGCUGCCCGGUGGUCAUGUGCAUAUGUCCAUGUGCGCAAGCAUGUGGUGCCCUCUGUUGACCACCCUCCUCCUGCUCCCCACAGCCCCUCGCAGGCUGGAACUCUGAAGCCUGCAAGGGGGAAUCCACCAUUUCCUGUGUUUUCUUCUUUAAGUGAGAAAAUCCAGGUUCUGCUGCAUUUGUCCAUGGCGAAUGGAAAACCUGGAUCCCUGAUGAUAAAGCGCAUGAGUUAUCUUACGCUGGAGGUGAUUCAUUCAGGAAAGACACGUAUGUAGGAAAUGAAAAAGAGCUCACAAUGUCCUGCCUGUUCUUUACCUGUUCUGGGCAUUAAUAGGCUCCUGUACCCUGUCUAGUCAUUUAUAUGAGUGUAAAGUACUUGUAAAACACCACUUACAUAGAUUUCUGAUCUAAGGGUAUGUCUAUAUUUUAGUAUAGUGUAGGGAUACUCAAAUUAACAAACUUGGGUACUGGUAACAGGUAAUUUUGGCAGGUAAAGUAGCCCACUCUGAGCUCUAUGCUGCAAUGGCUAUAUAAUUUUUAGUCCCUGAGUCUGUUUGCUUAAAACUAGCUCAGUUAUCUCUGCACUGCAAUGUAUCCUGAAGAAUAGAUGUACCCUCUGAAUGUGUAAGUCAGAAUGUUAGCGAAUAUGUUGUCACAAUGGACCGUAAAUCCUAAUCAGUCCCAGCUCCUUCCCUAUUUCUCUUAAAUCUGAUAAAAUAAUUACUGAUGGAAAAGAUGGGAGAUAAAUAAUUUUUAUUUUUUUGGUAAUAUCUUUUAUUGGACCAACUAUAUAGUUAGAAGAGAUGUUAGACAAACUUUCAGGUGCAAAGUGAUAACACUUUACCAUUGUCUGUGUUACAUGACUAGCUUUAUCAGUGUCCCCUUUCUGGUAAUUUAUAUCCUCUUAGCCUUGUGCCUCAUGUCUUUACUUAUCUUAGAGUAGAUAUCCACAAUCCUCUAACUCUUAGACUGGACCUGGGCUACAUUAUCCUGUCUACCAAUCCUUCUUAGCUAGCAAGUCUGAAUGAAUUCCCUUUGGGGAUUUGUGUUUCCCGGUAUACCUCAGCCUUCUGAAAAACAACAUAUAGUUUAUUUAAGCAGUAGGAUCAAAGCAUGGAGCAAAGAUUGCUCAUAGGCUUGAGCUGUUGUGAUGCUAUUCUGCUCACUUUCUGUUCUGCUUUCUGUAAGAAGGCCCUCUUUACAGUACAUAGCACUUCCUCCCACUGAAAUUCAAAUAAUUUUCUCUCUCCCCCUUUUACAAAACCACUUUAAAACUCAAUCCUUAAUUAAAUGCUUUUCAGUUACUACCCAUAUUAUUCCUGUUUUAUUGUUUGCUCCUAUUUUUGUUUUUGUAUCUGUCUAUAUUCUGGUUGAUACUAGGGGUUUUAAUAAAUGAAGAAUUGUUUCUAUAAUUGUUGUUCACACUUUAGCAGCUCUGCUUUAUAAAUUGUAUUAUUAAAAGUAAGAGAAAAAGGAUUUUAAAACAAUCUACAUGCAUGCUUAUUUUACCUAACGGUAAAGGUGUGCAGUCUCAGAAACCCCAGCAAAUGACUGUGCCUCAGUUUAGUUCCUCAGAACUUCAUUUCCCCUUGAGACACCAUUUAAACCUGCCAAGGAGUCUUUGAUCUCUUGGGUUUGUGGGCCUAUUCCUGUUUUAACUAACUCUCUAGUGCUGCUGAGUGGUUUGCCUUGAUCCAUUUUUGCCCUACCUGCUUGUUUUUCCCAAGUGCUCUAUUAAACUAGACCAAUAUACACAUACAUUAAACAUCCCAAUAAUUAGGUCAUCUUACAGUUCUCCUAAAUUAUUACUGAGAAGCUCCAAAUCUUAUCACAGUUGCCAUCAAUAGACUUUGAGGUAAUGCCUCAGUUAGAUCAAUAGGAUAGGGGAGUUCACAUUUCUCAAGGCUACAGUUUCAGGCCAUCUGCAGACUCAGGAACAUGAUGCUGCGUUUGUUUCCCUUAAUUUGCAUUUGGAAGUUUAUCCUUCCAAGAAGACUAAAACUGACUGUCUUUUGCAUGAAAACUUAAACUAUGAACACUUGAGCCGUUAAGACCCUGUAAAAUAAGGCAUCCUUAAUCCAAAAACCUUCAAACACGUGACACUGCCCUUAACAGAGAUGUAGCUCUCCCUUAAUGUCAGGGAAUUUAGCUUUGAAUACGUGCCGUUGAUGUGAUUUGUGGCAAACCCCAUCCUGUGCGUGUGGACAGAGUCACGGAAACUGCUCGUUUGUGUGUGGCUGUUGUGAUGCAAUUUGGUCCCAUUUUUAUCUCAUGCUUAGUCUGUCAUGGCUUAUUCAUUUGUCCGUGGCCUUAGAUUUGACAGAAUCUAUAUAUGCUCCAUGAGCAAUGUUGAUUCGCCAAGCAGGCUGGUCCAAACAUGUUUUUUCAUUUACCUUCCUUCCCUCCCCGAGGCCAUCUGUUCAUCCUGAGAAUGUGAAUAUCAGUUAUGAUCAUAGGGAAGGUUGCCUUUUUGUUUAAAAGUUUAUAAUAAUAAACUUCAGCAAAUGGGGGCUUCAGCAAAUAGCGGCUGAUUCUCUCAGCAAAUGCUGAGAGACCUGUGUAGAUAGGGUUACAAACACCAAGCUAUAGGGUGAGCAGCAAUCUGUAAACUGUUCCUAUGAAGAAGCUGCAGUCAAAGAGCUGUUUUACACUCCUGUGCAUGCUAUGUCUUCUUAAGGCCUACAUGCAGAGGCUACAGAGGACAAAAGCAAGGAGGUGUUAGGUACUAAUAGCUAUAUAUGCUCUGCAGAAAUCCAUCCAUUAACCAGAGGACCACCCACAGCUCAUUGUUUUGGACACUUACACUGUAAUUUUCCUUUAUGGAUGUCCUGCAGUAUAGACUCCACCAGGAUUCUGGUCUCUGGCAUGCACAUACAUACCAUACACACUGACAGAAACCCAAA